rnacentral:rRNA from 1 species
CCGUAGCCCAAGAGAUCGGGAUAACACCUGGAAACAGAUGCUAAUACCGGAUAACAACAGAUGAUGCCUAUCAACUGUUUAAAAGAUGGUUCUGCUAUCACUCUUGGAUGGACCUGCGGUGCAUUAGCUAGUUGGUAGGGUAACGGCCUACCAAGGCGAUGAUGCAUAGCCGAAUUGAGAGACUGAUCGGCCACAUUGGGACUGAGACACGGCCCAAACUCCUACGGGAGGCAGCAGUC